rnacentral:rRNA from 1 species
UACGUAGGGCGCGAGCGUUGUCCGGAAUUAUUGGGCGUAAAGAGCGCGCAGGCGGCCUAUCAAGUCAGAUGUGAAAUAACCAGGCUUAACCUGGUGGGGUCAUUUGAAACUGGCAGGCUAGAGUACAGCAGAGGAUAGCGGAAUUCCCGGUGUAGUGGUGAAAUGCGUAGAUAUCGGGAGGAACACCAGUGGCGAAGGCGGCUAUCUGGGCUGCAACUGACGCUGAGGCGCGAAGGCUAGGGGAGCAAACAGG